GAUGAGCGCUGGCGGCGUGCCUAAUACAUGCAAGUCGAGCGAACGGAUAAGGAGCUUGCUCCUUUGAAGUUAGCGGCGGACGGGUGAGUAACACGUGGGUAACCUACCUAUAAGACUGGAAUAACUUCGGGAAACCGGAGCUAAUGCCGGAUAACAUUUGGAACUGCAUGGUUCUAAAGUAAAAGAUGGUUUUGCUAUCACUUAUAGAUGGACCCGCGCCGUAUUAGCUAGUUGGUAAGGUAACGGCUUACCAAGGCAACGAUACGUAGCCGACCUGAGAGGGUGAUCGGCCACACUGGAGCUGAGACACGGUCCAGACUCCUACGGGAGGCAGCAGUAGGGAAUCUUCCGCAAUGGACGAAAGUCUGACGGAGCAACGCCGCGUGAGUGAUGAAGGUUUUCGGAUCGUAAAACUCUGUUAUUAGGGAAGAACAAAUGUGUAAGUAACUGUGCACAUCUUGACGGUACCUAAUCAGAAAGCCACGGCUAACUACGUGCCAGCAGCCGCCGUAA
rnacentral:rRNA from 1 species